rnacentral:rRNA from 1 species
CCUACGGGAGGCAGCAGUGAGGAAUAUUGGUCAAUGGGCGCGAGCCUGAACCAGCCAAGUAGCGUGAAGGAUGACUGCCCUACGGGUUGUAAACUUCUUUUAUAAGGGAAUAAAGUGAGGCACGUGUGCCUUUUUGUAUGUACUUUAUGAAUAAGGAUCGGCUAACUCCGUGCCAGCAGCCGCGGUAAUACGGAGGAUCCGAGCGUUAUCCGGAUUUAUUGGGUUUAAAGGGAGCGUAGGUGGAUUGUUAAGUCAGUUGUGAAAGUUUGCGGCUCAACCGUAAAAUGGCAGUUGAAACUGGCAGUCUUGAGUACAGUAGAGGUGGGCGGAAUGCGUGGUGUAGCGGUGAAAUGCUUAGAUAUCACGAAGAACUCCGAUUGCGAAGGCAGUUGACUGGACUGCAACUGACACUGAGGCUCGAAAGUGUGGGUAUCGAACAGGAUUAGAUACCCUAGUAGUC